AGGUUCCCAGGCUAGGGGUCUAAUCGGAUCUAUUGCUGCCGGCCUACAGUAAUGCCAGAUCCGAGCCGUGUCUGCGACCUACACCGCAGCUCACAGCAACGCCAGAUCCUUAACCCACUGAGCAAGGCCAGGGAUCGAACCUCAACCUCAUGGUUCCUAGUCAGAUUCAUUUCCACUGUGCCACGAUGGCAAUUCCAAGGAACACUCUUCUUAACUGUGCCGUUUAUUCUGAAUGACACCCAAAACUUCCUAUUCUUGAAAAAUCAACUGCUGCCUCAAGAAAUCAAGGACUGCUGCAGCUGGAGGCACCCCCAAGGUUCACUUGAUGUCCCCCCCAUGUCCUCAUCUUCCAAAGGGGGAAACUGAGGCCACAACAAUGAUAACGAAUUAGCAUGGACUUGAUUACUAGCCUGGAGGCUGACUCCCAGUCCAGCCCACUUACGGCUACAUUAAUCACUAAGUGAACUAUUGCAAGACCACCUCAUUGUGGGUCAGUAGGGUAUUGGUUACAUAAAUAAUGGUACAUCCUUACAGCCAGAGAUAUGGGCGGAAGUAUUUUAAUGCAAACCAUUAAAAAAGAAUGAGGUAGAUGAGCUUUUAUUGAUGUAUAGGCGUGUCCAUGACAUAUUGAUGAGUGAAAGAAGCAGUUUGCAAGACAGAAUUUUUUUUUUUAAGUUAGAUUUUAAGAAAAUGGAAGUAUAGUCAAUUUACAACGUCAUAUUAGGGAGCAUUUUGUGUGCUUGUGUGUGUGUGUGUGUGUGUGUGUGUUAUUGCACAAGAUGUAAGAGGUGAUGAUCUCCAGGUGUAGGAUUUUAGAUUAUUUUUACUUCUUUAAGUUUUCUGCAGCAUUUAGCUUUUAUUCUUUCAACGAUCUGGGAUUUAUUAUAAUAAAAAAAUACACUAAUUUUGAAAAUUCUUAUUUUUUCACUUAAAAUGGGCUUUAAAAGUUAUCUGAAAAAUACACGUUCGUAAUAGAAACAUUUGAAACCUGUUUUAAAACUAGAAAGAUAAAUGCCUUUGGAGUUCCCGGGUGGCUCCAGCAGGUCAAAGUUCUGGCAUUGUCAUGGCCGUGGCCCUGGUCGCUGCUAUGGCCUGGGAAAUUUUGCAUGCCAUGGCCAAGGCCAAAAAAAAAAAUGCAUUUUAUUCCUACCAUCCAGAGUACCACAGGCAAAUGUUUGUUUUGCUGUAUAUCACGCUGGAAUUUAUAAAAAAAGAAUCACACUUAAAAGUUGCCUGAAAUCCAAUCUGAUCUAUAUACCUGAAUUUACUACCUGGUUUUCCCUAAUGUUGGAUGUCUAGUUCUGGUUUUUCCUCAUAACUCAUAGGGUAAAGAAUGUCUUCUAAUCAAAAGAAGCACAGGCACUGAUGCAGCCUCAGCAAAUAUUUUCCAAUUGCUUUAAAAAACAGUCGAUCAAUUGACAUUCCAAUCUGAAGUAUGGGAGAGUGCCUUGGGACCCCAGACUCACCAAUAUGGAGAUUGUCUAAAAAAUAUGUACUAAACUAAUUAAUCAUCUUUGAGCUGUUAAAUGUCUGCCAGGCUGAAAAUCAGAAGGCCUGUGAAGAGCUCCAGGUGCUGCGGGCAUCAUGAAAGUUGGCUUCAUGACCUCUUGCGUCCUUUCCAACUCAAUCCAGCAAACAUCCAAAGGACACAAAGGGAGGUUCAGUGCAAAGGCAUCCAGAAGUAUUGGAUGGAAAAACCAAGUAUUGCAACUUCGAGGUUAAAGGCAGUUCUUCCUAAACCCAUAUGGCUUUGGUGGGUGUGAUGAAAGGGAGGGUGGCUUUAAGUAAUUUUGAAGUUCACCUAAAGGAGAAAAUGGGAGUUCCCAUUGUGACUCAGUGGUUAACAAACCCAACUCGUAUCCAUAAGGACGAGAUCCCUGGCCUCGCUCAGUGGGUUAAGGAUCCAGCAUUGCCAUGAGCUGAGGUAUAGGUUGCAGAUGCGGCUUGGAUCUGGCAUUGCUGUGGCUGUGGCAUAGGCUGGUAGCUACAGCUCCUGUUCGGCCUUUGGCCUGGGAACUUCCAUAUGCCUUGGGUGUGGCUCUGGAAAGACAAAAAAAGAAAUAAAAAGUAAAAAACUUAAACAUUUUAAAACAGUUCAGCUGAGUUUUGACCCAUUGAAAGGUAAAUUGUUUAAAACAUUUUGGAGAUAAUUUGAUAAUAGCUGUGUUUUUGUUUUUGUUUAUUUGGCUGUGGACAUGGCUUGAUGUGGGAUCUCAGUUCCCAGGUCAGGGAUCAAACCCAGGCCACAGUGGCAGAAGAACUGAGUCCUAACCACUAGGCCACCAGAGAACUCCCAGGUAGUAGUUUUUUAAUGAUUAAAAAUGGUAUAAUUUGAUCUAGAAAUUCUAGCUCUAUGACUUUAUUCUAAGCAGUGAAACCAGAGAUGUAGCCAAGGUUAAACUGACAAGGGUGCUUAUCACAGCAUCCUCAUUUCUCUCUCAUAAACACACACACACACACUCACACACUCACACACAGACUUAAAGUUUUCAACAUUUGAGUAAUAUUUUAACAAAUUAAGGUGCAUUUAUAUAUGGAAUAUCACGUAGACAUCAGAAACUUUGUUUCCUAAGACUAUUUAAUGACAUAUUACGAGGUUAAAAAAAAGUAGCUUAUAAAACUCUGGCAAUAUUUUAAAAUCUAUGUGUUUAAAAGCCCACAAUGUUCUUAUGUGUAUAAAUAUUUAAAGGUCUGAACAGAUGUGAAAAAAGUUCAUAAGGACACACAGCAGGUUGUUAACUUUGGGGAGGAAUCUCCUUUCUCUUUUAAAACUAAUAUCUUAUGUUAAAAUUUUUCCUAUGCAGAAGCAAUGCCUUUGUAAAUAGGAGCUAUUUUAGGAAGUUAGCAUACAAUAAAAAGUACAAUUAACAAAACCCAGGAGGGAAUACUUGCUGGCAUCACGAUAAUUUGAAUUUUGAACUAUAUUUUUAUUUUUGUCCAAGUUUUCUAAAUUUUCUACAACAAAGAAGUGUAGCUUAGAAGUUGAUCUGUGAACUCGGUUCCCACUUUCCUCUUCAGCCAUUGAGUAAAACUUGUGUUG
ensembl:lncRNA